rnacentral:rRNA from 1 species
AGUGAACGCUGGCGGUAGGCCUAACACAUGCAAGUCGAACGGCAGCACAGUAAGAGCUUGCUCUUACGGGUGGCGAGUGGCGGACGGGUGAGGAAUACAUCGGAAUCUACUUUUUCGUGGGGGAUAACGUAGGGAAACUUACGCUAAUACCGCAUACGACCUACGGGUGAAAGCAGGGGAUCUUCGGACCUUGCGCGAUUGAAUGAGCCGAUGUCGGAUUAGCUAGUUGGCGGGGUAAAGGCCCACCAAGGCGACGAUCCGUAGCUGGUCUGAGAGGAUGAUCAGCCACACUGGAACUGAGCCACGGUCCAGACUCCUACGGGAGGCAGCAGUGGGGAAUAUUGGACAAUGGGCGCAAGCCUGAUCCAGCCAUCCCGCGUGGGUGAAGAAGGCCUUCGGGUUGUAAAGCCCUUUUGUUGGGAAAGAAAAGCAGCAGGUUAAUACCCCGCUGUUCUGACGGUACCCAAAGAAUAAGCACCGGCUAACUUCGU